GUGGAUCUGAUUUGCAUCAUCCUGUGAGUUCAUUAGUAUCAGAACGCCCAAAGUUGAAAUUACUUCCAAGAACCAAACCAUUGGCAAGUUCAGAACCAAAUACAGUUGAUCAUACGCAGAUGAUUCCCGAUGCUGUUUCUGCUGACAAUGUGAAUGAAAUGUACGGAAAUUCAAAUUAUGUGAAACCUAGUUCAGCUGGCUCUGAGAGUGGGAAGGAUGGAAUUGAGCGUCCAAAAUUGAAUCUGAAGCCUCGGUCUCAACCCAUUGAACAAUCAGAAGGAAAUGCUGGGAGAGACAGGAUUGCUUUGUUUGGUGGUGCUCGCCCACGGGAGCAGGUUCUGAAGGAACGAGGGCUUGACAAUACCACAGUUAACAACAAUGAUCUUCUCCAACAUUCUGAAAGGAUUGACGAAAAUUUUUCAAGGAUGGAAAGGGUUCAAGGACCCCCUGUUCCUGUGCAUCAGAGUGGAAAGACGGAGAAUCCACCUUUUGAUCGAAGGAUAGGCAAGGAAGGUGAGCGGAAGGAUAACAGGGCAGAUCCAGAGAUGCAAAGGAGGAAUUUCCGCGAUAACCGAAGGAAGAAUAGAGAAACUGAUAAACAACAGCAACAGCUCGAGCGGCCACCUUCACCAGAGACUUGGCGCAAGCCUGCUGAGCAGCCAAAACCUGCCUCCCCAAACGCUGGCGGCAUGCGUUAUGGGAAAGUAGCUUCAGCACUUGAGCUGGCUCAAGC
rnacentral:misc_RNA from 1 species